UACAGAGGGUGCAAGCGUUAAUCGGAAUUACUGGGCGUAAAGGGCGCGUAGGCGGAUAAUUAAGUUAGGUGUGAAAUCCCUGGGCUUAACCUGGGAACUGCAUUUAAUACUGGUUAUCUAGAGUAGAGUAGAGGGAAGUGGAAUUUCCGGUGUAGCGGUGAAAUGCGUAGAUAUCGGGAGGAACACCAGUGGCGAAGGCGGUUGCCUGGAGCUUUGCUGACGCUGAGGCGCGAAAGCGUGGGGAGCGAUCCGG
rnacentral:rRNA from 1 species